GCGGGAGUAGCUCAGCGGUAGAGCAUCGGCUUCCCAAGCCGAGGGUCGCGAGUUCGAACCUCGUUUCCCGCUCCA
rnacentral:tRNA from 1 species